GCGACCCCAGGAUGGGCGAGGCCACCCUGCCGAGUUUA
rnacentral:rRNA from 1 species